GUACUUUGGGUGAUAGACAUAGCUCAAUGAUCUUCCCAAGCCUCAUCUCCGGAAUUUGCAUAGCUGCUGGUAUAAACAUUGUAUCCGGGGAGGUGGCUGCCAAACACAGCCCCACCAUAAAGCGCAGUACUUUGGAGGCCCAAGACAGAGCCAGGUUAAAGCAUUGGGAGAAGCAAGAAAUUGAGAGGUGCAGACAGCAGGGAGAGCAAGGUCACGAGCAAGCCGAGCAAGAAAUGCCUCAAGCUCCUCCAUCACAGGCUGAG
rnacentral:lncRNA from 1 species